GAGGCGAUGCUCUCGCCAGCGACUGCAGGGACUUGGCCGGUGGUUGCCGAAGGGAGCGGAAAGAGGAGCAGAACCCGCAGAGAGAGCAGGCGGCAUCCCUCUGGUAUGUGCGCUCAGACGGCGGCUUGGAAGGUGUUUGUUCAGCAGGACUGUGUGGGAAGCAAUGCUAGCUGAGUCCGUCCAAAGGGAGAAACUUAUUAGAUUUUCUGGAGACACCGUGGAAAGGCACUUUGUGGAUUGAUUUGGCAUUACAAGCCAAGGACCGACAAAUUCCUCAACAACGUCGAAAGUAGCCUAUUUUAAGAGGAAAUAUGCAGAAGAAGAAGAUUCACAUCAAAAUUACCAAGGGUAUUUUCCAAAACACCUGAUACUACCUGAAGAUCGGACUUGUAUUCUGAAACUUUCUCUGCAGAAGCUCCAGUUCCUUGAAGACCCUGAGAUCUAUCUCCGCCGGUCUGUGUUGAUCAACAACUUGCUGCGAAAGAUUCACCUGGAAACCGAGCGCGAACGCUAUGAAUACUUUAAGGGGUCCCCAUGCUGUCGGACUGCGUACUCUGAUACGAGAAAACGGCUGAAGUUCAUGGUACAAGAAUGCCGUUCUCAAUCCCUUUAUUACGAAGAGCUGCAUUCAUAUCAUAUAGUGCCUUAUCCUACGGAGAAUGCCAUUUAUGGAGUGGGCUACUCAAGCGGCCAUUUGGCGCAAAAUUCGCAAUUGCUUAUUUAUGAAAUGAAGUAAGGUUGCUUUUUAGAGCUGCGGAGUGUUUUGUUUGUAAACGCCUGAGAAGGCUUCUUAGCAUGCUAUACUGAGGCCCUCGUUGCCAAUGUAUGGGAGACCAAAGGCGUGACUUGUCUUUGGCUGUGUGGGGAAUGCAUUGGUGGCAGGAUUGAGGCCUUCUUGACUGCAAAAGUAAUUUGGCAUCCGUAGGAAACUGGUGCAACUGAGAGAUUUCUCAGUAAGCAGAGACACCUUGUGUGCGAUGGCUUUUCGGUUGUCCUUAUGUAUAUAUUUGAAUUAACUUUAGCAUCUCAAUGAUACCACCCUUUUGGGAGAAAGCAAAUGGGUACUAGAAGAAACUAAUAUAUUAGUGUGGUUUUGGUGAGGAUUAAAGGGGCUGUCGUCGUUACUACCCAGAAGGGUUAAGGAAGCCGUUUUCUUGAAGGAAUUCUUAAUCACGGCAUGAUUCUUUGCCAUUUAAAAAUACUGAUCCAUUUUGAUCCUUUUCGGCUGAGGCUAUUCAGUAGCAUUAACUGUUCUGAGACUUGUCUGCUUAGUAAUUCAUUCACCUCAUAUGACUGCUGCUUGGUUUGUUUUGGUUGGUAGUGAUUUUUUUUUUAAAGGUUUCAGUGAAACAGUGAUUUGGAGAUGGUUUCUCAAGGUGACACAUUCAUCUGCUAAUUGCUGCUUGUUUAAGCUUGAAUCCUCUCCAGCUUCCUGUUGAGUUCAUCUGACGAUUGUACAGCAGGGUGCAUAGUGCUUUCAGUAUUAAUGCUUUGCCAGGCAAUUGUGUAUGUAUGUGUGUGUGUGUUCAUGUGAAUUUGGGGAACAUAUUUGUUUGACACAGCGAACAGUAAAUUAUUGCCCUAAAAGGCAAGACUUCUCAGUGUUACCGCAUUGUUUGUGAUUGACGUAGGUGCCCAACGAGAGCUUGUGAAUUUUCUUUUUGUAAUCCUCAGGUAUGUCAGGCGGGGAAGGUGGUGGAUGGAUUGGCAAAGAGUGAGGAGUGGGUGACAGCUGCCAAAAGGUAUGCUCUGAAAAUGCCAAAGAGGAGUAUGAGAGAGGAGGAUGCGAGGAAUGUACUAAGGACUAACUUAUACUACAAUCUGAAGGUAGUAUUGUACCACUUUGACAAUGGCUCCCCCUCAAAGUAUGCUGGGGACUGUAGUUUGCCGAGAUGCUGAAAUUUCUCAUUAGAGAGCCCUAUCGCUGAUGGACUACAAUUCCCAGGAUUCUCUGGGAGAGGGAAUGACUCUUAAACCACUUUGUGAGGAGUCUGGAUGUGCCCUAAAACUUGGCAGACGUUUCUGUUAAAGCCUGAAAGCCAUAUUGUCCAGGUCUAAAGACACAAUCCGCUCCAACUUCUGCCUGCACUAGCCUAAUUGAGAUGAAAUUAGUAAUGUUCUGUUAACACAGUUCCCAUUUUGUCUGUGUUUGGCUUGGGCUGGAGAAUUUCCAGUCAGAAUGUGCCCUGUGUUAUGUCAUCAGAUGCAAAACAAAGGAAUCAAUUUUAUAUUGAUGGUAGUAUAUUGCACAUUAUAACGGUAAAGACUUGCAUGAUGGAAGGACUAAGAAGGCUACUGACUGAAGGGAUAUCUUAUCGAGAUGCCCCCCUUUUAUUAUUAUUUUGUGAAUAAAGCCAUCAUUCUUAUGCAAAGCAAUUGACAUACUAUCUUUUCUAGAGUCAAGUAAGAAACAUGUUUAGCAAAGAAGAGUCUAGUGAGGAACCAUGAUUCCUUCUUUAAGCCAAGUUAAAAUGCCUCAUUCUUGUUUCCGUAAAAGAUGGUUGAGUGAUGCAUAUGAAUCACUUGAUUCCACUGUUGAUCAAGCAUGUGAAAAAAAACACAUUGUGUCUGAACAGAUACUGGGGAAAAUAGAAGUUCUCCUUGUGUAGACUCACCCACACGGGAGUUAUCACUUGAUGCUAUAGUCUGCAAGUGAUGAAUGCUCAUGUGUGAUGAGGCUGAUUCAUCCCUUGCUGGUGACAAAGACCUUUCCAAGCAAGGCUUCAUAACUUCAGCCUUUCUGCUGUUGUUGGAUUAGAGCUCCCAUAAUCUCCAGCCACAAUAGUCAGGGAUGAUCUUCAAGGAUAAACUUGUAAAGCACAUAGAAGAACAGGUCCUGCUGGGAGUGAACCAGCAUGGCUUCCGCAAAGGGAAAUCUUGCCUCACCAACCUUUUGGACUUCUUUGAGAGUGUCAACAAGUGUGUGGAUCAAGGUGAUCCAGUUGACAUAGUAUACCUGGACUUCCAAAAAGCUUUUAACAAAAUUCCUCAUCAAAGACUCCUGAGAAAACUUAGCAGUCAUGGGAUAAGGGGACAAGUACAUGUGCGGAUUGCUAACUGGUUGAAAGACAGGUAACAGAGGGUAGGUAUAAAUGGAGAGUUUUCACAAUGGAGGGAAGUAAGAAAUGGGGUUGCCCAGGGAUCUGUACUGGGACCGGUGCUUUUGAAAUUAUUCAUAAAUGAUCUAGAAGCAGAAGGAAGCAACGAGGUGGCCAGAUUUGCAGAUGAUACCAACUCUUUUGGGUAGUGAAAUCCAAAAUGGAUUGUGAGGAGCUCCAAAAGGAUCUCUCCAAACUGGAUGAGUGGGCGACAAAGUGGAAUAUGCAGUUCAGUGUCGGCAGGUGUAAAGUGAUGCACAUUGGGAUGAAAACACCCAACUUCAAGUAUACAUUGAUGGGAUCUGAGCUGUCAGUGACUGACCAGGAGAGGGAUCUUGGGGUCAUGGUGGACCGCACUGUUGCCAGAACAUAAGGGUAUAUUUGUGGGUCAAAUGAGCUGUAACCCAAAAUUUGGCUUUAAAAAAGCCAAUCUGGCAAUCAGCUUGUUGAAAGUGUCAACUCAAUGUGCAGCAGCUGUGAAAAAGGCCAAUUGUAUGCUAGGGAUCAUUAGGAAAGGGAUUGAAAAUAAAACAGCUAAUAUCAUAAUGUCCUUAUACAAAACGAUGGUGCGGCCACACCUGGAGUACUGUAUACAAUUCUGGUAACCACAUCUAAAAAGGACAUUGUAGAACUAGAAAAAGUGCAGAAGAGGGCAACCAAGAUGAUCAGGGGCCUAGAGCACCUUUCUUAUGAGGCAAGGCUACAACACCUGGGGCUAUUUAGUUUAGAAAAAAGACGACUGUGGGGAGACAUGAUAGAGGUCUAUAAAAUCAUGCAUGGUGUGGAGAAAGUGGAUAGAGAGAAAUUUUUCUCCCUCUCACAUAACACUAGAACCAGGGGUCAUCCCAUGAAAUUGAUUGCCAGGAAAUCUAGGACCAAUAAACGGAAGUACUUUUUCACACAACGCAUAAUCAACUUGUGGAAUUCUAUGCCACGAGAUGUGGUGACAGCCAACAACCUGGAUGGCUUUAAGAAGGGUUUGGAUCACUUCAUGGAGGAGAGGUCUAUCAUCGGUUACCAGUUGGAGGGCUAAAGAUCACCUCCCGCCUCAAAGGCAGGAUGCCUCUGGGUACCAGUUUCAGGGACGUAACAGCAGGAGAGAGGGCAUGCCUUCAACUCCUGCCCGUGGCUUCCAGCUGCAUCUGGUAUGCUCGACUAGAUGGGCUCUGGGCCUGAUCCAGCAAGGCUGUUCUUAUGCUCUUAUGUUCUUAUGGGAGUUGUAGUCCAACAUUGGGAGGAAGGUCAGAGUUGUGCAUCCCUGUUGUAGAUGGACAGAUUAAGACAGGGAGUGUGUAAAGUGAAGCAUAGUGACUUGAGGCUAGUAUUGCACAUUGGAGGGAUACUUGCUACAGGGGGAAAAGUAGGAUUGGAUUCAAAGAACCAUGUAUCAAAAGGAAGUUGCUGCUCGUGCUGUUCUGCAAACAUUUGUGCAAGAGUUCACACACUGCUAUAAUAGGUUGGCUCUGUCAGAAUUGGCAUGCUUCGGCUUGUGCAUGGUAUGGAGCAUGCGGAAGACUAUCUUUGGAUUUAGUUGUGUGCAGAUGAGCAUUUUUUAAUUUGGUUGCAUUUUGCUUCUGUAACACUCUAAGGCAAGGUGUAAACCAGAGAUGCCUUCUGCAUGUGGAAAGGUACCUUUGGAUCCAGUCCUGGAAAUCUAGACUUCAUAGUCUACAAAUCUUAGAUGCUCUGUCACACAGACCAAGUGGUCCUGGGUGAACAUCCCGAUCCAAGUGGUCCCAAGUGAACAUCCCAAGAUGCCUCCACCCAGUUCAACGGAAUUCAAAUGAGCAGUGUGAUGUGGAUGAGGUUGUGUAUCUUGACGUACUCCUGUGUAGGGAAAGGCGUGAUUGCUCAUGCAAAUCUCCCUUGAUGAAUAAUGUGUGCAUGUACUCAGGAAUAGACAUCCUGGGAAGUGUGGGAAUAAGAUGUUGCAAGCGAGAUGAGCAGCCCUAGAGCCUUUUGGUUAUGAAAAGGAAUUGAUUUAUUUUCAUUAAAAACAUCAUCAAAACAGUUAGGCAAGAAUCCUUCCAUCUAAGUUGAUUGACAGGGCGUCACACAUGUAGGUACAUUCCUUGAUGCUGCAAGAUUACUCAUCACCUGAUCACACUCAGCUGAAUGUGUGAACAGCCCCUCUGGAGAUGGCUGUGUUUGGGUUGACACACUGGUUGAUAUAGGUUUUUUAUGGGGUGAAGGCACAGACAAGUCUUCAUUGGAUGCUAACAUCAACGAGAGAGAAACAUAUACCUGUGAACUGUCCGGUACCCCAGCAUAACUAUCAUCCCACAUUUAAAUUGUUGGUCAAGAGAUGGCUUGGUGUGUAGCAGUCCCCUGAGGCUGGUUCACAACUAGAUCAGUAAGGACAAACGGACCCAAGUUUGGGAGCUGUGCUCACCUCCAUGUUGUGAUCGUGUGCCACUGAAUAAAAAAGAUUGGAGGUGGAGGCAAGGUUCUCGCUGGGGAGGAGAACUCUGCCGUACCCUGCAGUUGUACCCAGCUGCUUAAUGAGGUAGGAGGAAAGGCCUCCUAUUACCUUGCAGGACCCUUGCACAGAAUCACUUUCCCCAACUCCACCCUUGUCUUUUACUAGCUCACAAUCACAAAAUGGGAGUGCGCACAACUCCUAAAAACUUGAGACAUUUCUCCCACCCGGUACCUGUUUGCACAAAUUAGCCUCUGAUCUAAUGCCUCGCUCUGUCCAAAGCUGCUCUCGGAGUCAUGUCACCCACCCAGCAGCGAUCUGCAAGAGCAGGAUUUCUACCCUGGGUUCAUAGACGAGAAUCUGCUGGAGUCAGAGCAAACAAGCAGAACUUAUGUAUUUGUGAUUUAUCUAACACAUUUUUAUACCGCCCCAUACCCAAGUCCCUGGGUGGCUCACUAUCUAAUAACUUAACAACAGUUAAAAACAGUUUAAAAUACAGAUUAAAAAUCUAAAACUUCAAACUUUAAAACUAUACACAGGGGCAUAGCAAGGUUGGAGUGGGCCCAGAGACAAGAUUUUAAAAUGCUUCCCUCACUGAAGCUCAGCUCAUGAAGUAAAGAAAUCUUAAAUGAGGCUGAAUAGUGGGAACAAAAAGCAUUGUGUGUGUGUGUGUGUGUGUGUGUGUAUAAAAUAACCUAUGUGCCACAAUAGAACAUCAUCCUAAAUUAUUAUUUAAAAAAAGAUUUUGUAAAUUGAGGAGGAUGCAAGUCAUUUAAUGGUACUAGAGAAAGACAUGCUGUUCUGGUCGCUCCAGGUCUGAACACUCACAUCAGUUUCGGAGGAUGAAUACAACUGAAGGAAGCCCGGGUAGGUGCGUGGCUGGGGGAGUCAGUCCUGUGACUUGCCUCUGGGGGGGCCCCCAAGGCAGUGGGCCCCCAGACAAACUGGCCAUGGGGAACAGCUACCAAAGAGCAUUCUAUCUUGUCCUCUGAGACUCUCAUACAAUAACAGGAGAUACGCUUGGAGGGGCAAUGCGAUGUUAAAAGAACGUCUCCUUCCUCAUGAACCUCAUCGCCUAUUAAGAUCAUCUAGGGAGGCCCGGUUGCAGUUGCCACAGGCUCAAUUGUUGGCAACUCAAAACCGGGCCUUUUCUAGGGUGGCCCCGGGACUUUGGAAUGCAAACCUUAAUAAAAUUAGAGCCCCUCCCCUUCUCUGGAUGUUUAUAAGAAGGACCUGGAAACAUACCUGUUUAGUCAGGCUUUUAGUGUAUAGUCAGGGGCGUAACUAUAAUAUAUACCUUCCCCUUGGUAGUCGUGUACACUCCUCCUGCAGAUCUAUAUCCAAUAUGAUCAAUAUGCCUGACAAAACAUAUCACCUGAUCUAAACCCCUCCCUAUAAGGUUUUCUUGGGACGUGCCCAGAUGAUGCAAUUUCGUUUUCAGAGCUAUUUCCCAUUGAGAUGUAAAGCUGUCAAUUAACACUAAAGGCGCUAGACCGACUGGGAGGAAAAGCUACACAUAGCUAUAAGCUACAUGCUCUAUAUAUUUAGUAUGGCUGUCUGAUUUGGGUGGUAAUUUAUGGCUGCCACCAAAGUUGUGUGUAAAGCAACAUUUGAAGCAAACUUGCUGGUUUCUUCUUCAGGAGAAACAUCGGAGGAGUGCAAGAGGAGCUAAAGUAGUUUCAACAGGACUAGUGUCAUAGCUCAGAGGCAGAGGCACUCUUAUCCCUGGACUUCAGGGCCGAAGUCCAGAUCCUCCACAGCCCCAAGUUCAAAGCCUCCACAGCCCCUGGCCCCCCCCAAUCCUCUUUAGUCUGUCCCGGGUGGUGUGAUCCCCUGGCCGAGCAUGAUGAUGCUUAAUUUGCAGGGCAGGGGGCCCUCCAAAGGUCUUUAGGUCCAGGCUCCAAAAUUACCUAGGUGCACCUCUUCUCGGAGGAGGCAUCCUACAUACUCUUUAGCUUUCUUCCAAGCCUAUUUAACAGCUCUUUAGCAUUGCCUUCUGAACUGGACUGUUUAUGAUUUAUAGAAACCAGUAAACAUGGGUUUCUCAGACGUGGGUCUCUAGACGUUGUUGGACUACAGCUGCCAUCACCCCCAGUCACAAUGGCUGGAUGCAGGGGCGGAGCCUCCAUUGAGCGGUAGGGUUCAAAGAACCUGGGCCGCCGAUGAAAAGGGCCACCAGUGCCCUCCGUGUGCGUGACGUCACACGCAAAGGGGGCAUGGCCCAAUCACCAGAGGGCACACCCCGUUCUUCCUAUUGCAUCCCCACCCAGCAUUUGCUGGCUGGAUGUGUUUAUUUUACUGGAGGGAGAGAAAGGGAAAUUAACACAGCUAGGCAGCAAAUGCUGGCUAGAAAUGAGCCUGGGAGAGCCGGGAGACCCCCUUUGUGAGUUUCCUGGAAAUGCAUUCAUGAGGGCUCUGGUGGGCCCUCCGGCAAUCGGGCCAUGCCCCCUUUGCAUGUGAUGUCACACACACGGACGUCACAUGCGGGGGCCACCAGUGGGAGGGACAUGGGCUGCCGUUCUGCUGGCUACGCUACUGGCUGGAUGGCUAGAGAUGAUGGUUGGGGAUGGUGAUUCUGCUAGUGCGCCGGGUUGCUCAGUCUCCCACACUGACUCAAGGGCUAGGGAUGAUGGGAGUUGUAGUCCAACAACUGGGGAUCUAAUUUUGAUAAACCCUACAGUAAACGGUUCAUUGUCCAGCCAUAAUUCAAAUAAUCUAGAUACACAAUUUCCUUCUUUUAUGUGAAAACAGGCAUUGAUUUCCCAAGAGCUGCUAUCCGUAGAACAAUCAAACCCAUUAUUACAACACCUGCAAAAACAGAGACCAGCUAGAGGAUUUUGGCACUUGUUAAAUCUUACCAACUGGAAACAUUAAUGCGAUCAACAUUUCUGCCUUGAUUUGCUCAGCAAGACGAAUGUGAUAUGCCUCAUUAUUUUCAGGGUCAAGGGCUUCAUAAACUGUGUAACAGUUUCUGGAAAUGCCCCCAGUUCAAUGGAAGUUAAUGGAUGGGCUUUUGCUUCUAGAAUAAUGUCUCCUGCACUUUCCUUUUGGUAAUUCUGUGGCUGAUGAAUGUGUUUGGCUGAGUAUAUGGAAUAUUGUGCCUUAAAGUUCCCUUAUCAUGUGAGCCUUCAUUUCUUCUUUGUGAAAGUUAUAUAAAGUGUGCUGUAGCUGAGGAUGAUCUGCUGCUCUGCAAAGAUCCAUUUUUGGUACUUGGGUCUAACUUUCAAAAGCCAUUGUUCUGGACGAAAUCCAAUGGGACUUCAGUCUAUACUGUCAGGUGCAGAUGAUCAAAAAAACCCCCCCAGAGAUCUCUUCUGUCUUCUGUUUCCAUUUCUUGCCAAGCACCUUCAAAUUCUGUUUUACCCAUACCUGUGUCAUAACCCAGUGGGCACAGAUUAAAGCUCGAUGAGGCUAUGAAAUGCAGAAAUGGUUCCAUGUCCUAUCAGUUCCCUGUCCAGCACAGAACUCUCUGUGUGCGCACACACUCACUGGAACCCCGCAUGUACUCUGGAGCCCUUGGUUCCUGGGAAUUAUGUCGUUCAUGUCACUGAAGAGAGAAAGCCACCAACUGUGUUUUUAGUGUGUCUCAUUUUAAUCACUCCCCCACAGAAAGAUCCUAGCAGAGGCAGGAGAUGGGUAGGAUGGAUGUGGCCAACCUAUAUUCUGUCCUUGCAGGGCCUUCCCGCCAGCCACGGGAGGGCCCGAUUACUCAUCCGGUUGCAGGGUCGAGAAGUUGGAGGCUGCACCACUCCUGGGCACAGUGAGCAACCUUCCCCGGUUGCCAGGGAGAGCCAAGAGACCCGGGAACCGAUGGACCAUGGGUGGGUCAGUGUGGCCCAGCAGGUUGCCUCCUGGUGGUGAAGAGGAGAAGGCAGGGCCUCAACAGCUGGCAAGACGGGCAACAGCUGGAGGAGGGAGGAGGGAGCCAGCUCGAUUGGAGAGGGCAGAGUCAGGAGAGGGUGACUGGGAUUGCCCCGAUUGCAGGGCUUUAUUUAAAGCUUGGAUGGCCAGGGAUGAGGGGGUCUGGAGAGAUGGGAGUGACUUGGCCCUAGAGCAGGCCUGCACGACAUAAGGCCCGGUGGCCAGAUCUGGCCCACGGGGACUUCUUUGCUGGCACCAGGGCUGGCCCAAAGUAUUGUGAUGCCAAAGGCCACCUUGCCCCAUGGACUUGGUGGGGGUCAGGCCCCUUUCAAAACUGACUUUUGAAGGUGUCGAAAAUUUACCUCGGCCCCUGCCUACCAAGUCAUGGUUGGUUCUGGCCCACCAGGGUAUUUGACUUGUGCACCCCUGCCUUAGAGAUGCCUGGCAAGGAGCUGUCUGACCCCUCUCCCUGACGGCCGGUGGAGGAAUAGGGUGAUGAUUACCCCAUCCCCAGCCAUUCCACGGCCAAUUCAGUAGACUGUGGCCUCAGGCAAGUGCGUGACAGUCCCCAGCAUUUUAUCAAGGGUGGACAGAAAGCUGCCCUAGCUAGCUCCCAGCUCUCACACACGAUCACUCUCCUCUCCUCUUGCUUUGCUGGCUGAGUUUACAUGACUGCCGACCGGGAGCAUGCACAGACCUCCUCCCUGUGUCAGAGCUAUCCCAAUAGGUUCACUAGGGCCAUUGACUGAUGUCUAAAAAUAGGUGACGAAUGGUGUCUAUUCAAGCAGCAGACCCCUCCUGUGGAUGCAGCAGGUGGCCUCUGCCGCACUACUGGCUGGGUGGGAAACCAUGUGGGGGACCUGCUGUGUUGAGGGAGUGGUCACCUACCAAGAUGCGGUGGCUGACUCCGCUCUUGUGCAAAGCUGCUGCACUAGCGCAAGGCUGUGGUGCUAGCUCGUUGGGCUAUGUCUAGAAUUUGCAUUCUAGUGUCUGCUCGUGAAAACACAUUACUGCACUGAUUCCACAAGGCAUGCAACCUCUGAUGCCUCAUAGAUUUUGCAGGGAACGUCUGCACAAGCAUGCAAGAGUGCAAUUCUGAACAUGUAAUCUUGCACUCGUGCAACAUUGCUGGUUGCCCAAGUCCGGUGUUAGGAGGUCAGCCAGCAUGUCCAGACACCUGCCCCUCCUGCUGCUGCUGCACCAGCUUGCUUACUCUACCAGGCAUGUGUUGGAGAUGGAGCAUCGACUCUUGGGACUUUUUAUCCUAGUGACCACUCGGGGCAUGAGGAGUUGGGCCUUCCUCUUUAUUUCAUUCCUUGUGUCUGCAUGAUCUGGCUGUCUGUGAUUGGCAGACUGAUAUUCUGCACCUGUCUGUUCUGCCCGUCUUGCUCCCAGACCCCUCUUGGCUCUUCUCUGCUGCAGACUGCAUUACCCUUACCAUCUCACAGACCGCAUUACCCUCAGACUGCAUUACCCUCACCAUCUCACAAGCACACAGGCUUUCUACCCAAGAAUGUAUUUUCCCAAUCAAGCUUACUUGUGUAGGGAUCUUAAACAACUGUCUCAAGCCACUCUUUAAUGGGUGCAGCACCUUUUACUGCUUUGCUGUUUUAAAUGAAACGGAGGGGAGGCUUACCGGAGGUUAACCUCGGAAGCCAAGAGUCAUGCUGCAGACGAUCCGGCAGCUGAGAUUCCAUUGCUUCCAGCUGCAAUCCCCCUCCCUCUUCCUCUUCCGUUGAGCAUGUCACUUGCCCGGCAGCCAUUGGCCUUGAGAUGAGAGGGGAUGUGCUUGUGGGAGGAGCUUGAGCGCAAACCCGAAGUUGCUGUAUUUCAAUGAGACAAUGGGGUCAAUGGAGCUUCUGUUCCAGCAAGCUAUCCAACUUCAAGCUGAGGGUUCCAUCCUCGGUUUGAAGGUCGCAACAGAACUGUGAUUGCAGGAUUUUCCUGCAUUUGGAUGAUGAGGAACGCCAACCUCAGGUGAGUGUAACUGAGGGUGGCUGUGUCAUCUGAACUAUGCCAGAGUGUUGCUUCAGCAGCUGUCAGAACCUGGAUAAAAUACUGCUGCAGGGGGGUGUAAUCUUGACUUCACUAGGGAAAACUGGCUCUCCGUUAAAGAGGUGGCACACUGGUUCUGAAAGAUGUGCUAAAAAAAAUAAAAAAUAAAAAAAUUGGCAAGUCGCCCGACUUCUAGGUCUUUGAGACCGGCACGCUGGUGAAAUCAGGCGGUCAGGAGGCGAGAGAGGUUCUGUUGGAGGAGAAUAUCAGAGGGUAUUGUUAAGGGAAGCACCACAUAUCUGGAGGGUUUCUUCCAUCAUCUGUGAAGAUCUCUACAGGAAGCACUUCUUGACAUAACUCUAGGGCAGUAUUUCCCAACCUUUCCCACCCCCCUCGAGGCACACUUGGAGUAAGGAGGGUGGAAUUAGGGUACGCCCCCCCCCACCAGAUUUUUUCUGGUGGUAAUGCAGCCACACAUUUUUUCACUUUUUAAAACCCUCCUGGUCCAUUAUGGAGAGACUCAGCUCCAAAAGUCAAGAAUUGAAACUCCCAGCUUUGCAGCUGAUGCACCUCUUUAUGUGUCAGGAAGGGGCACUCCUUCCUGAUGCAUUAUGGGACGACGCAGAUGACUCGCCACAUAACGGACCAGGAAGGAGCAAUUCAGCCUGGUAGACCAGCCAUGGGGAACAGUUGGGAACAUGGGUUGAGAAAUGCUGCCCUAGGAAGGAGCUCCCAUCAAGACGACUAUUCUGCUACAUCCUCCUUGGUGAAGAGGUUUCCGAGUUUGGGUUCUGUGCCAUGACACUGUGAGAGUUUUGGAAAGUGAAGCUAAACCAUGCUGAAGAGAGAGAGCACUCCAGUACACAGGCGGGGUGGGUGGGUGGGCGGGAUGUCCCAUCUGUGUUUGUGCAGACUAAGUGUAGAAGCCCCAGCAGUUCAUUUGUGGGGCUUUAAAAAUUGCUUGUGCAAUCAAUUAAUUACACUAUGGAAUCAAGUGAGAGGGGCAGUCCCAGAUAGUAUCACUCAUGCAUCAAAGAGGCAUCAGUCAUUCUUGGAAUGUACCAGCCUGUGUUAAAAUGUUAUAGAGGGGCGGAUUUUAUACUGCUUGGCCGGAACGACUUCAUUGUACAAUCAGCAACAAAUUUUGGACCUACUUGAGACUUACCUGAAAGGUUUUUAUUGAUUUUUUAAAAAAGUGAAUGGUAUAAAAAUGUAUUUUAAAAAUAUAAAUAUAAAUAUAUAUAUAAAUAUAAACAUGGAUAUGUGCAUGAUAUUACUAAUAAAGUUCUAUUUCUAUUGAAAAA